rnacentral:rRNA from 2 species
CGGGUGGUAAUGCCGGAUGCUCCAGUUGAUCGCAUGGUCUUCUGGGAAAGCUUUCGCGGUAUGGGAUGGGGUCGCGUCCUAUCAGCUUGACGGCGGGGUAACGGCCCACCGUGGCUUCGACGGGUAGCCGGCCUGAGAGGGCGACCGGCCACAUUGGGACUGAGAUACGGCCCAGACUCCUACGGGAGGCAGCAGUGGGGAAUAUUGCACAAUGGGCGCAAGCCUGAUGCAGCGACGCCGCGUGAGGGAUGGAGGCCUUCGGGUUGUAAACCUCUUUUAUCGGGGAGCAAGCGAGAGUGAGUUUACCCGUUGAAUAAGCACCGGCUAACUACGUGCCAGCAGCCGCGGUAAUACGUAGGGUGCAAGCGUUAUCCGGAAUUAUUGGGCGUAAAGGGCUCGUAGGCGGUUCGUCGCGUCCGGUGUGAAAGUCCAUCGCUUAACGGUGGAUCCGCGCCGGGUACGGGCGGGCUUGAGUGCGGUAGGGGAGACUGGAAUUCCCGGUGUAACGGUGGAAUGUGUAGAUAUCGGAAAAAAAACACCA